UCUUCUGUAUCCGUCGCUCAAUAUCCAAUUCACGUUGCUUAGAUUAAAUACACAUUGAAAGAUUUACGAUCUGAUAGAAAACUGUAUUCUCUAAAUUGUGCGACACUUAUUAACGAGACUUAACGCUUAUUUCUAUAAGAAAUUAUAAAACAGUGCGAAAUUAAUGAAAAGAUUAAUAAUCAUCAUCAGGGGAGGUAUUUUAUCCAUAUCACAGCUCGCACUCACCAUUUGAGUGAUGGUAAGUAAGAAUUUAUAUCGAUGAAUAACUUUUCGAACAUUUGGACCAAACGUACUGAGGAAAUAAUAGGUGUACAUUAUUACGUGAA